CCUACGGGGAGCAGCAGUGAGGAAUAUUGGUCAAUGGACGAGAGUCUGAACCAGCCAAGUAGCGUGAAGGAUGACUGCCCUAUGGGUUGUAAACUUCUUUUAUAUGGGAAUAAAAUGUUCCACGUGUGGGAUUUUGUAUGUACCAUAUGAAUAAGGAUCGGCUAACUCCGUGCCAGCAGCCGCGGUAAUACGGAGGAUCCGAGCGUUAUCCGGAUUUAUUGGGUUUAAAGGGAGCGUAGGUGGAUUGUUAAGUCAGUUGUGAAAGUGUGCGGCUCAACCGUAAAAUUGCAGUUGAAACUGGCAGUCUUGAGUACAGUAGAGGUGGGCGGAAUUCGUGGUGUAGCGGUGAAAUGCUUAGAUAUCACGAAGAACUCCGAUUGCGAAGGCAGUUCACUGGACUGCAACUGACACUGAGGCUCGAAAGUGUGGGUAUCAAACAGGAUUAGAUACCCUGGUAGUC
rnacentral:rRNA from 1 species